CGGGGAUUGGCCUAGCGGUUUAAGGCGCCUGCUUUGGGAGCAGGAGAUCGCGAGUUCGAAUCUCGCAUCCCCGACCA
rnacentral:tRNA from 1 species